rnacentral:rRNA from 1 species
UACAUGGGGUGCAAACGUUGCUCGGAAUUAUUGGGCGUAAAGCGCACGUAGGCGGUUCGUUAAGUCGGAUGUGAAAGCCCUCGGCUCAACUGAGGAAGUGCACCCGAAACUGGCGAGCUUGAGUACUUAAGAGGAUCGCGGAAUUCCCGGUGUAGAGGUGAAAUUCGUAGAUAUCGGGAGGAACACCAGUGGCGAAGGCGGCUCACUGGCCCGAUACUGACGCUGAGGUGCGAAAGCGUGGGGAGCGAACAGG